UACGAAGGGGGCUAGCGUUGCUCGGAUUGACUGGGCGUAAAGGGCGCGUAGGCGGUUCGUACAGUCAGACGUGAAAUUCCUGGGCUCAACCUGGGGGCUGCGUUUGAUACGUGCGGACUUGAGGGCGGAAGAGGGUGUGGAAUUCCCAGUGUAGAGGUGAAAUUCGUAGAUAUUGGGAAGAACACCGGUGGCGAAGGCGGCGACCUGGUCCGAUACUGACGCUGAGGCGCGAAAGCGUGGGGAGCAAACAGG
rnacentral:rRNA from 1 species